rnacentral:lncRNA from 1 species
CCCAAGACCUUCACUAACUCAUUUGAAAUUGGUUUAAGCUGUUUCUCUAUUCACUGCUGCCAUGAGUUGCUAGUAUUAUAACCUAAUAAAUUUUUGUUGUUGUUCAGUCAUUUCAGUCAUAUACAACUUUUUGUGAUGUCAUUUGGGGUUUUCUUGAGCAGAGAUACCAGGAUGAUUUCCCAUUUCAUUCUCUUGCUUAUUUUACAGAUGAGGAGGCAAAACUGAGGCAAUCAGGAUUAGGUGACCUGCCCAGAAACACAAAACUAAUACAGCAGGAACUAAGGCUGAUGCUACAUGAAGCUCUCUGUCAAGGAUCUCCAAACUGAAUGACAAAAUCUCUCAGGGAUAAUAUGCAUUCAGCAACCUGGAAGUAAGUUGCUGUUGAGAGAAAGAAAAAAGAAAGACAAGAAGCAAAAGAAAGAACACAAAAAGAAAGGAAGGGAGCCAUGAAGAAAAGAAGGAUGUAAGGUACUAAGGAAAACAAAUGAGUAUAAUCAGAAACACCCCUCCCUUCCCUAUUGGCUCUGGCUAAUGUGCACCUUAUGAGACAUACCUGAAAAAAGCCCCUUCUGAGGAUACAUUUGAACUGGCUCCUUUCCUCAGAUGGUGCUUAGGGACUUGGCACUCUGGAACAAUGGAAAAAAUACUAGGUGAUCCUUUUGUCCCUAUGAUUAUAACAAAAGGAGGUAAAUCCUUUGGAAAGGAUUGGCAACAGAUAGUUACCCAUUCAAUAAACUUGAAAAAGGAGUGACUUUGCCUUCUAGA